AUGGUCAUUACAGUGGCGUGCAGAUUCCGAAAAGCUCCUUUUCCAAAUGGCGAUUGAAUCAUCAAUGACUUUCGAAAUGUGCAUUGGGGAUCAAAACUUUGUGAAUUGCCGGCAGCAGCAGCAGAUUUCCAUGGGAAAGGGUUUCAAUCAUCUCCAUCUGCUGGGUGGGGUUUCCAUUUUUUCUUUUAUUUCCCCCCGUAAGUUGAAUGAGGAUCUCAUCGCCGAGUGAAGGAUUUUCGUGGAAAUGAGACCAGCCUUCAAAUUUUCGAAAUGAUCAAAUGUGAUGGUGACACAACCCACACAAAAAGAUAGAGGACUAUGUGACGGCCGUCUCGUAUUACUUCACCGAAUCCAGAUGUCUUCAUUUACCCGCUCUCUAAGAAACGCUGUGUUGAAAAAGGGAAACAUGACCAUGCUUUGAAAAUAUUCUAAAUUCUAUGUUUUCAAAACGGAAACACAAAGUUUAAAAAAUGGAAUAAAUUUCUUUUUCUCAUUUUUACCUUCGCGCCACUUUUGACAUUAAACCUAAUAAACGCCCCUCAUUAAACGA